AUGGUAGGAUAGAGGCCUACCAUGGUGGUAACGGGUAACGGGGUGUUAGGGCACGACACCGGAGAGGGAGCCUGAGAAACGGCUACCACAUCCAAGGAAGGCAGCAGGCGCGUAAAUUACCCAAUCCCGACACGGGGAGGUAGUGACAAUAAAUAACAAUACAGGGUUCUUUGAAUCUUGUAAUUGGAAUGAGUACAAUUUAAAUCUCUUAACGAGGAACAAUUGGAGGGCAAGUCUGGUGCCAGCAGCCGCGGUAAUUCCAGCUCCAAUAGCGUAUAUUAAAGUUGUUGCAGUUAAAAAGCUCGUAGUUGAAUUUCGGGAUCAAUACGUCGGUCGUGCUUUCGGGUACGUACUGGCGUCAUUGGUUUCUCCCUUCUGACGAACCAUGAUGUCAUUAAUUUGGUGUUAUGGGGAGUUAGGACUGUUACUUUGAAAAAAUUAGAGUGUUUAAAGCAGGCAUUAGCUUGAAUACAUUAGCAUGGAAUAAUGAAAUAGGACGUUCGAUCCUACUUUGUUGGUUUCUAGGAUCAACGUAAUGAUUAAUAGGGAUAGUUGGGGGCAUUAGUAUUCAAUUGUCAGAGGUGAAAUUCUUGGAUUUAUUGAAGACUAACUACUGCGAAAGCAUUUGCCAAGGAUGUUUUCAUUAAUCAAGAACGAAAGUUAGGGGAUCGAAGACGAUCAGAUACCGUCGUAGUCUUAACCUUAAACUAUGCCGACUAGGGAUCGGAUGAUGUUAAUUUUUUAAUGACUCAUUCGGCGCCUUACGGGAAACCAAAGUG
rnacentral:rRNA from 1 species